CCGAUUGAAACGCGCGAUCGGAGGGGGGGCGUUCCCCCUCCUCCGUCCGCUAUCCUUUCUUUUCGAUCUCCCAUACGUGCACCCGCGAAAGCGGCGUCGGGGCGUCCGCCGACCCCUCACGCUUUUGUCUCCAAAAACCAAUCGCCUUUUCUUUCGUACAUGCAAGAGUCGUCUCUUCGGAGACGUGGAGAAACA
rnacentral:misc_RNA from 1 species